AAAAAAAAAAGUGUUGGCUUAUGGCUCUGGAUUUUGAAGGGUAGCUUCUUUCCUCUUGGAGCCAGGGGAGAGAGGCUAAGUAUUAAGGAAGAGACCCAAACCUGCCACUAGCCAGGCACUCUACCCCUAGCUUCCUCCCUGAGUCUGCCUCAGUGAUACUGGUUUCCCCUCUUUCACAUGAAAUCAGCUUGGAAUGGCUCCAAAGGAGCCUUCAGAGAGAAACCAAGAGAAACUAAAAGCAAGCAAGCAAACUGACCCCCAAACACUUAGAGCUACAGAAAU
rnacentral:lncRNA from 10 species